rnacentral:tmRNA from 1 species
GGGGGCGAGUUGGUUUCGACGGGGGACUGGAAUCCCGUGGCGCAUGCCGAGGUACCGGUGGCCUCGUUAAACCCCGGUCGUAUAUAGCUGCCAACGAUACCGGCUACGCACUGGCUGCCUAAUUAACUUUAGGUAAGUCGGCGCUGCCCUGACGGCGCCCGUAACGUCAGGACGCAGUGUCAUAAGCUCGGGCUUGCUCCCUGUCGCCGCCUGGCCGGCAGGGGGGACUUCCAGUCAGGCUCAUCUUCCAGACUCCCUGUCCGUGGGGUCGCUGGCGGAGAAAUUAAACACGGAAUAAGCAUGUAGUGCCGCGAGGCUGAAAGCCUUCGGACGCGGGUUCGACUCCCGCCGCCUCCACCA